rnacentral:lncRNA from 12 species
AUACAGAAACUUGGCUGCUCACCAAAGCCAAUCAGAUGCUGAAGUUACGGGCCUUUUGUUUUCAAACUGAAUAUAAGGGAUAUAUCAAGACCUCAGUAUCACAAAAUCCUCCUCAACAAUCCUGAUCACGCUCAACAGUCUUAAACAAAGGUAAGGUAAUAUUAAUUCAACAAAUGCUCAUCAGCACCUUUGCUGUUUGGGGUUGAAGGUCUAGUUCUAGAUCUAGAUCUAGUUUCCUGUUGUAGUUGGUUAAAUUUAACUAUUUCUUUCAUAAAAUGUAUAUUUCACAUUUCAUUUCAGACGUUAUCAUUCAACAUGAGAGCCCUCAUUUUGCUGGCAUUAGUCAUUGGAGUGGCCUACUGCGCUCCGGUACAUCAUCUACAGUAUUUGACUGUCAGCUAUGACAAGAGAAUAUGUGAUGCUAAUAUUAUGUGAUACUAUAGCUCUGACUUUCCUGUUCUUUGACACACAGCAAUUGAUGUAUUAUGAGCUAGAGUACAAACCUGUCCUGGCUUCACAGGUUAGUUUGGUCCAAACAUUAAAUAAAUACACAUUUAUUAUUUAAAAAGACUUAAUUAAAAUGAUUCAUAGCAUAUGAGAAUAUAUAUAGUUCAUGUAUAGUAUUAUAUAUGUCAUAUAUGAUAAUACUGCAGUUUGGAUUAUAUAAAAAGUGUGUAUGAUAUUCAGCUUUUGCGCUGCGCUGCAGCUAGUUCUGUGAGUUUAGUUGGAUUUGAAAUAAUUAUUUUACCACAGUGCUCAUUUUGUCUUAUUCUCCACAGGGUCAACCUGUCCACGGCUUCAUUAAGCAUGAGAUUCCCCAGCCCGCAGGCAAAGAAAGUGUUGAAGUUCUGUACCCAUUCAGCUUUCCUCAACCUGCUCCAGCUGCUCCAGCUGUUCCAGCUGUUCCUGCUGUUCCUGCUGCCCCUGCUGCCCCAGCCCCUGUUCCAAAGGACAAUGAUGAUGAUGAUCAUGACGACUAAACCAGAUUGAUGAACAGAUAAGCUGACCACCAAUUCUUGAACCUCAAAGAAACUGCUUGUAGUGUUUAGCAAAUUGACUGAAAUAAUGUCACAGUCAAUCAAAGGGUGCUUUCUCAGUGGCUUGAUGCAUGAGAGCCAUAAAAAUCAUAGCUUUUUUGCAACCAUGUUUUUAAAUCUUGAUUUAUAAUAAACCGUACAAUCAAUUCCUUGCCUCCUUGUGUUAUUACUAUUGCUGAACAGUUAUAAUGUUAUAAUUCUUACAAAUACAUAACAAUUCCUAGUUUGACUGAUAAUAAACAUCAUCCCAAAAAUGCU